GGCAGAGAGACUAGAAGUGGAUCCAUUCCAAUUCAGUCACUGACUUCCCUUCAGAGACUGCCUUCAAAUUGGUUCAAGUUACAGUAACAGUUUUCAUGGUAGAAACACAGUUUUGGUGAGAACUGGACUGAAUCUUCCAAGUGUCUGUGACUGUAUAAGGACUGUAUAAAGAUGUUUUUUCCACCUGUGAUGACUGCUCUUGAUUCUUUGUUGCCCCUCUCUGAGUUUUGGUUCUGAGGUGAGGUGAGCACUUGCAUUGACUUGGCAAAAACUAACCCUUAAGGGUCAUCUUCUUAAAAGAUGGAGUUUGGCAUUGCCGAAUUAUACCAGUUCAAGGAACAGAGCAAAAAGUCUAGAGUUAAAUCACUGACUUGUGUUCAUUUGAUACAAUUCGGUUUUGAAUGUUCCCAUUAGAGAAGAAAAAGAAUAAAACAGCAGGAGAUCUUGUCUCUGAGGAAAGCCAAGUUUAAUAGUGCAUUCUCUGCUUCAUUGCUUAUUCCCAAGUUAUUAAGUUUUGCAAUCUUCUUGUGCUCGAGAGUUGAGAAAAGAAAAUGAUUUUUUAUAAAUUUGCCUAAUGUCAUGUAUUGACGGAGAUUUCAAAGCCACUAAAAAUUACUAAGUUGAAAGUUUGUGAUGAUAGUGCAUCUCUACAGCUUUCCCUUUGCUUAUGUAGAUUGCUUGCAUUUCACUUCUAUGCCUAAACAUGACUUGCAUCAACUUCCAAUUCUUCGUACCCUAGUGCUGCCUAACAGCAGCAAACAGGUUCAGUGCUUCCCAGAAAGCAUGAUAACAUACAUCGUCUUCCUAAAAAACAGAAUUCACAGGUUAUAUUGCUAAGUGACAUUUUCUGUAGAUGUUUGUACUGUUGAACAAUUUAUUUCCUUUCUCCAUAACAGAUUGUAAAACGGGUGAAAAGCAUCUCAUGUCCCGACAUGCAAAAGGGCUUUCAAAUAGCCUCUCCACCAGGGACAGGAAUGUCUUCUGUUGUGGUGAAUUGCUAGGCGAUAGCUCUUGCCAUGUAAUGCUGAACAGGAUGCAGCAGGAAAGUCACAUGCACACAAAGUCACCAGCAGCUCAGUCUUGAAACAGCUACAUCAGAGUGCAGAGAAGUCUAUUAGUGCUUUGCUGGAUUUAGUCCCUUCCUGCAGUCUUGUUGCUGUGCGUUUCCUACACCUACCUCAGGGAACACAGGUCAGUUGACAAUUCUGCCUUCUACUCUUCACUCUUAAAGUAAUCACAAUGGAUUUGGUAAUGAACGGUUUAAUGACAGGAUGUAAAAAAUGGAUGAAAAUGUUUAAAGGCUCUGUGAUUUGAGAAGAGUUCAGAACCGACAGAUUUAUGAAGUCAUCAAUGUAUAUCAGGUACCUGAAGCUACAGGUGGCUUUCUACAUUGAGAAAAAGCAAACAUAUUUAGCCUGCCUUUAAAGGAAGAACAGGUACAAAAGUUACUGAUUUUACACAUAGUGAUCUUGAUUCUGUGCUGCAGUUUUGAGUUUCCAGUCUAGAACACAUGCACACAUACACUCCUAUUCUAUACGCAAUGGCAUAUGUUUAACUUUAUAACUUUACUAGUCCCAUUUUUGGCAGUAUUAUCU
rnacentral:lncRNA from 1 species